UGACAGUUGCCUCCAUUCUCUCUCUCCUCAACGCAGCUACCUCACCCUCCUCCUCCUCCUCCUUCUCUCCCUCCCGUCACCGGCCAACGCGAGCUCGCAGACGGCAGCCGCCUCCGACAUGAUCCCUCGUCCCUCCUCCUCUCUUCUCCCUCGCCGCGCCGAUCAUGUCGCUGAUGCCGUUGCUGAUGCGGUCGCUGCUAAGGCUGGUGGCGUCGCUGGUGGGGCAGCCGGCGAGCACCGUGACGACGUUGCUGUACUACAGCGACCUCCUCCCUCGCCACCUCAACCUGGAGCGCCUGGUCCGGCACGAGCUCCUCGACCGGGACAACUACCUCUUCCAUUUCCUCGUUAAUCUCCUCCGCUGCUUCUGAAUUCUCCUAGAUCCUUCCCCCGGUAAUUUAACCAGCUCAGAGAGUUUAUAUGAUUUGGCUCGGGCGCAUCAGCUGAUGAAUCUUGGUACCGGAAAGGCGUCGCAAGACGACGGCAAGAUGCCAUGCUAUAAGCAUUAGUUAGUAGUCCAUGACAGAGGCUAUACGAUCAUCAGGUGGCGAUAUGUAUUAGGAUUUGUCAUAUCAUCGUUUCUUGAUUUGGCCUCCAAUUUAGUAAAGUUUGCAAUCUUCAAUCUGAGUGCUCGCAAGAGUUCGAACAUGGACAUCUUCAAGUAGAAUCCAUGGUCCUUUUUUCCA